GACGAACGCUGGCGGCGUGCUUAACACAUGCAAGUCGAACGGAAAGGCCCUGCUUUUGUGGGGUGCUCGAGUGGCGAACGGGUGAGUAACACGUGAGUAACCUGCCCUUGACUUUGGGAUAACUUCAGGAAACUGGGGCUAAUACCGGAUAGGAGCUCCUGCUGCAUGGUGGGGGUUGGAAAGUUUCGGCGGUUGGGGAUGGACUCGCGGCUUAUCAGCUUGUUGGUGGGGUAGUGGCUUACCAAGGCUUUGACGGAUAGCCGGCCUGAGAGGGUGACCGCGCACAUGGGGACUGAGGGACGGCGCAGACUCCUACGGGAGGCAGCGGGGGGGAACAUUGCACAAUGGGCGGAAGCCUGAUGCAGAAACGCCGCGUGCGGGAUGAAGGCCUUCGGGUUGUAAACCGCUUUCGCCUGUGACGAAGCGUGAGUGACGGUAAUGGGUAAAGAAGCACCGGCUAACUACGUG
rnacentral:rRNA from 1 species